rnacentral:lncRNA from 1 species
GUAGUGGCGGAGCGUCGCCCCGCCGCCGGCUGCCCCCCGAUUGGUCCGCCCCGUCUCGCGUCACCUGUUGUCAGGAGAACUGCCGCCCAGAGGUUGGGGCGGGGAGGGGCGCGGCUGUGCGGGACGGAGCGGGGCUGGCGCUGCGGGAGUUGGGCAGAGGGCAGGGGAAGCGGCGUGGGGAGAGGAGAGAAAAAAUAAGGAGGGGAUGGGGAAAGAGAAGGGAGUGAGGAAGAAAAAAAAAAGAGGGAAAGUGAAAGGAAAAGUGGAGGGAAACGAGGAAAAAAGCCUUGCAAAAUUGAAGAAAAAAAACAACAACAAAGGAAAAGCUGACUUAUUACCCCAGUAGAAACCAAGAAGAGUAACAAAAAACCGAGCAGCAGACAGGUGAGGGUAUACAGACUCACAUCUGCACACCUGCUUUACUGAACCAGCACAAUUCAAGAAGGCUCUGCUUUGAUGACAGAAGUUUAAGCACAGUAAGUUACUGAAAACCAUAUCCCGUAUAUAAAUGGUUUUGCUAUUUUCCAUAUCAGAGAUGUAAAAAAACCCACGUACUUUUUGUUUGUUCGUUGUUUCUUUCUUAUCCUUCUACUGAGAUAAAAAAAAAUUGCAGGAGAAUGUUCUGUGGAAAUGAUUAGCUAAAAGCUAAAGUAAAUUGUGGUUGUUAACCUGCUGGUGGGCUUGCACUCUGUGCAAUUUAUCUAAAUCAAGUGCUGUGCAAUCUGAUGCCACACAGUCCCCCACUACAGCAAAGGACUGAGUGCCUGGCUCCUGCACAUCUUUUCCUAAGGAAGCCAGCUUUCAAAGGCAGUGUUGCAAACAGCCUUCUCUCUGCUGAACUCGCUGACCCUCCCACCUAAAUAACGUGCCUGAAAAAGAAGAGGUGUCUCUCCUGUUUUAAUUACACCAGAUUUUGCAAAGGAGAAUGAGAAAGUAAUUCCUCAAGAUGAAUGGUUGUACCUGGAAUGAUUACUCUGCAGAUGAAAACAAAACCAGUGAAGCAAACAAGGCCAAUAAGCCAACCAACAAACCAGUAUAGAAGAGGAAAUAGCACAGGAAAUAAUAUCUGUGUGUUUGUGUCAUGUGAUAACCUUUAAAAAUCUUGUACAGCAUUCCGUACAGAGCUUAUCAAAAUUAAAGCAGUAUCAAAGACUAUUUCUAAAAGGAUUCAUGCUGGUGUUAGGGAUGGGGCUUCUGCAUUUGAUGUGGACUGCUAUGUGAAUGUUACUCACAGCAUAACAGGCGAACAGUUUCUGCAUUGCAAUGCACAAACAUUUUCACGUCCCCAUCCACAUCUACAGCUCAUUGCAGA